UAUUAUAUGUGUGCUUCUGACUUUUUCUGUUUCUAUUUCAAGGCAGUAGUCUCAUGGAGUAUUCACCACCUCCAAGUCUGAUAUUUCCCUGAAAUGGACAGAUAUCACGGUCGGUCGCAGACAAGAUCUAGGAACAACCUCCCCAACAACACUGUGUGGAACAGUUGACCACAAAUAAUGUAGCGGUUCAUUCUUUGAGCCUCCCUUAGGGCAAGUAGGGAUGGGCAAUGCCAGUGAUUCUCACAUCCUGUGAUUGAAUUAAAUAACAUUACACAGGUGAAAUAUGUCCUGACUUGAUUUGGAAACUAAACUUGUUCAGAUCACAGCUGUGAUUGUUUUGCACUGAUAAUAACAGUUUAAAAUGAUGAAGAAUUCAUAGUGGCAGUUGUAACUGGAAUAAUGUGAUCAAAGUUAAAGGCAUCGGUAUUCAUCAGCUCAGUGUUCAGUGUAUACGGGCAAUGCUUUACAUUUACACAAUUGCAACAGGUCUAUCAGUCCUUUCCAAAUGUCUGUGGUCCAAGUAGAGACUGGUCUCUCAUGGAUCCAUUGCAGAUUCAGCAUGUUGAGAUUCCAACAUGCCAGUUCAACUACAGUUACAAAUCCAAGUUCUCAAAGUGCCCCUUUUCAGCCCCAUCUCAAUCCUCUUGUGCUUCCUCCAAUUUUGUGAUGCUAUUUGCUUGAUUAUUUUUACAUGAGAACUGUGUCACAGUCCUGAUCGGUCAUUCCCUGGUUCCAUUAAACUUCCUUUGUGUCACGAUCGGGACCGUUGACUCCUGGUUUUCCUUUAUUCCUUGUUUCCCUGUGUUUCUCAGGCACUUUAAUUAAAAGCACAGUAUUUAGUGUCCGGUUUACAGCUACUCAGCACUAGAUCAUCACCGGAUGUCACCUUAUGUCACCGAAGCAAUUGCGAGCAAGUCACCUUGCCGGAGCGAGCCAAGUCACAUCGUUGGAGCAAGUCAAGUCUUCACCCCAAAGCAAGUGCCAAAUCCCUGAUUUGCUUUGCUUCAGGUGUGGAACAAUUGAAUUUCAGCUACAAUUGUACAACCCUUUCAAUGUAUCACAAAACUAAGGGGACAAAGGCACAAUUUCAUCAGGUAUGGUUGGAGUUCAUCAACAUUUCUGUAAUCCAUUGUAUCCAGAGGAUUGGUCUACGCAGGUUCACUACAGCCCUGUUGGCCAGCCUUACUUAUUUCCACCUCUCAUGACAGGGAUGUAGGAUUCAACUUUGAGAGGUGAAAAAUAAUCAGGAUCUAUGUUUCAUUUAUUAUCCAUCUCCAGCCAUUUUUGAGAAGAUGACAAUGAAAGAAAUAAUUUAAACAGCAAAUUGGGAGAGCCCUCACAGAAACUCUAAACUCCUAAAUUCUGUCUUGGACUAACAGCAACAAAAGACAGUAAGAACCUACUGCAUAUCUGCCAAUGGUUUAAGGAUUGCCAAGUCUGACUGGACAUGUUCCAUCACAUGACAGUUCACCGCCUACACGUCUUGGCUUUGGUCGUUGAACACAGCCAUCUCGCGGUACAUCGUUUUCCCACUGCAGCAGGAAGCAUGCUGCACUUCUCAGCUGGAUGUUGACCAGUUUUCCACAGUUGAUCAUUUCGGAGGAAAAUAGCCAAAAGUACUCAAAAGGAAUGAAAUAAAUAUAGCUUUUUGUGUUCCUAUGAUUUUCCUCCCGGAUUGCUUUGAAGGAUUUUGUAGGAUAGUCCAGUUCUCAGAAUCUCCAGGCCAUCCUGAAGCAUUGGCAGCACUUCAACAACUAUACAGAGACAUGUCAGACUCAUCUAUUGUUUGCUGCUUCUUUGUCAGCUCAGAGGCUGGGUCAGGACAUAGAAUGUUAACAGACGUUGAAUCAUCAGAUGGCUAAUCCAAGAAUGUAUUAAACAUAGAGCAUAAACUAUUGAAUACCAAUGUCCUUGUAUGGGAAAGCCUACAAAACAUAGUGGAUACAGACCAAUCCAACAUGGGUGAAGCCCUCCCACUGAACGUAUUUACAAGGAGCGCUGUCACAGAAAACCAGUCUCUAUCAUCAGUGACUCCCACCACCCAGCACACUCUCUUUACUUGCUGUUGCCAUCAGGAAGGAGGUACAGGAGCCUCAGGGCCCACACCACCGGGAUCAAGGACAGUUAUUAUCCCUCAACCAUCAGGAUCGUGAGCCAGAGGGGAAUAACUUCACUUGCCCCAUCAAUGAACUGUUCCCAUUGAACUGGAGUCACUUUCAAAGUCCUUUCAUCUCACAUUCUUGAUAUUUUUUGUUUGCUUGCUUAUUUAAUUAUUUAUCUUCCCGUGUGUUCAUUUAUUUAUUGUUUAUUUAUUCAUUCACUUGUUCAAUUGUUUAUUAUUUCUUUUACAGUUUGUAGGACGAAGGGAAGCCCCUUUAUUUAAAAAAGGAUGACAUCUCCUUUGUCCUAGAAUGAAAGGCCUCAUCCUGAGAGCAGAUGCAGUGGAGGCAGAGGAAUUGAGAGAAACGGACAGCAUUUUUGCAGGAGACAGGGUGGGAGGAGGAAUAGUCUAGGUAGCUGUGGGAAACAGCUACCUUUUGUCCACUAUCAACUCUGCCCUCCAUCGCGUCUCCUGUAUUUCACGCACCUCUGCCCUCACCCCAUUCCCCCCGCCAACCAACCAGGGAUAGAGUCCUCACCUAUCACCCUACCAGCCUACAGAUCCAACGUAUAAUCCUCCGUAACUUCUGCCACCUCCUAUGUGAUCCCACCACCAGCCACAUCUUCCCCAUCCCCCCACUCUCGGCUGUCUGCAGGGAUCGCUCCCUAUGCGACUGCCUUGUCCAUUCAUCCCACCCCCCCAUCCCUCCCCACCGACCUCCCUCCGGGCACUCAUCCCUGCAAAUGAAAGAAGUGCUACAUCUGCCCCCACACUUCUUCCCUCACCACCAUCCCAGGCCCCAGACAUUCCUUUCAGGUGAGGCACCACUUCACCUGCGAGUCAACUGGGGUGAUGUAUUGUAUCCGGUGCUCCCGAUGUGGCCAUUUAUACAUUGGGGAGAUCUGCCGCAGACUGGGAGACUGUUUCGCCGAACACCGGCACUCGGUCCUCCAACAGUGGCGGGAUCUCCCUGUGGUCACACACUUCAAUUCCACAGACCACUCCCACUCUGACAUGUCUCUCCAUGGCCUCCUCUACCGUCAAGAUGAGGCCACAUGCAGGUCGAUGGAGCAAUACCUUAUCUCCCACCUAGGUAGCCACCUGCCUGCUGGCAUGAACAUCCAACUCACAGACCUCCGUUGAUACCCGUGCCCCCCCCCCCCCCUUACCCCCAUCCCUAUCUAUUAUUUUAGUCUGGUUCUCUUUCUCUCUCUUUUUUCCCCCCUCACUAUAAUCUCCCCCCACACCUACCUUUCUUUCUCUUUUAUUUCCCAUAAUUCUCCAUCUUCCCCCUAGCCCAUUUCCCUCCAGCCUAUCACUUCCCAGCUCGCUACUUCAUUCCUCCCCCCACUUCUUAUUCCCCCUCGACCAUCCCAUGUUACUUCACUCCUGAUGAAGGGUUUCGGCCCGAAAUGUCGUCACUACCUCCUCCCAUAGAUGCUGUGUGGCCUGCUGAGUUCUGCCAGCAUUUUGUGUUUUUACCUAAACAAUCUAGGCUCUUGUACCUACCCAGUGUCUACAUCCCUCCAUGUUUGCUUAGAUGCACCUUUACUAUAUUUGCCUCCACUCCCGCCCCCGGCAACCCAUUCCAGAAACCCUACGUGUAACAAACUUGCCCUGCAUACAUUUUUUAAACUUACCCACCCUCACUUUGAAUGUAUGCCGCCGGUAUUAGACAUUUCAACCCAAGAGAAAGAUACUGGUUGAUGAUCUAUGCGGCUCUGAACCUUACUGUGUAAAAUCACAUAUAGUGUUGAGUCUGACUACCUGAAGGGGCUGGAGAUCUGGUACAGAGAUGCUAGGGCAUGUAACAAGAAUUGGCUGGAGCAGAUUGUGCUGAGAUUGAAUGAAGUCACCCGAGACCACUAAAGCUGGUGAUAUACAAGUCUUCAUCAUAACAAGCAGUCAUUCUCCUGGCGACGCUCGCUGUAGAGUCUCACAAAGUACAUCCCAUUUUUAUACCCAAAGACCAAAGGUAACAGCAGGUGAUUCAGUACAAUUUCACUAGCUACAAUAACAUCACUUAUUUCAAAACUUUGGUUUGACUGUGCUUCCUUUGAAUUGUAUAUCUACAGUGGGAGACCCCUCUGAACGUUAAAUAUCUUUGCUGAAACAAGCUAUUUGCAAGCUUCCCUGAACUUACACAAUGUUUACAAUUUACAAUGUCACAAAGGUGCAAAUUCCUUAAACCCAUAGUCGAUGCAUGGCAACUAACACGACCCCAAUGUCUUAACGUUUGGCAGAUACAUAUGCAAUCACUUAAUCUGUGGGAGAAUCUGUGUUUUCAACUUCAAUUUACUGCUUACAAUUUACAAAAAGAUCUGAAGACGUUCUUGCUUCAAUUAAUAUCUGCAUAUAACUCCAGAGUACUCCCAAAUAUGCCCUCCUCUUGGCCCCUGGACAGAAAUCUAUCCCAGGAAGGUCAAACCUUAUGUGCAUCUCUAUCUGCACGAUUAUCCCUAUCUACAAGACUAAACAAAGAUGGCAAUAAACCAUUCCAGAGAUUUGAUCACAUCCUCUUCUUAGAUAGUUUUGUCUUCUCAAUUUCAACAGACUUUAAAAUUCAGCUUUGUCAUUUAUGUGCUUGUUGCUUCCUCACCUGCUGGCCCAGUACAGUUUAAUCCCAUCUUUAUCUUCCCCUCCACCAUCAGUAUUUGUUAGCUAAAACUCAGCAGUAGCUGUCAGUUAUUCUGUGGGCACUAGCAUGGUAACAGAUCCCAUUCGGUGCUGUGACGAAAGACUGUCAGAAAAACCUGACAAUAAAUCUCUCAGUCCCUUUGAUCAAUCUGCAAGAGGGUUUGGGGUGGUCUCUAUUUGUGUAUCUCCAAGUACCUUAUCGCAGUGGCACCCACUCCUGGUUUGUCCUUUUGAUGAGUGGUCCGAACGCUGACAGGGCCCAGCUCCUUUGUAUCCACUCCCAUUUCAGUCUGGGGUCGUUGCCUUCAGACGCUAUGUGCAUUUUAUUCUUUCUUGGUUCGCCUUGCCUUCGAGGCUGUGGAACUUGAUGUCCACCGUAACUCAGAUCCUUUCCCAUCUAUUUUCCCCUACCUCUUUCUGUUUCUACAACGAAUCACUUAUCUCCCAGAACCAGCCUUCAUUACAAAGUGCGGUUACCGUUACACUUCUGCAUGUAGCUUUCACCAGGAGUGGUCUGAUGUGAAACAGCAGGCUGAUGUCCAUCACUUAGAUUCCCUGUAAUGACGUUGUUACUAGGUAGACAUGAUCUGUGAGGGUGACAGGAAGAUGAACCCGAGUCCUGUGUUUCCAUUGUCUGCCUUGCCAGGGCUGCACACAAACACAGGUGUCAUUUGUCGGAAGUACUUAUCCACCUGGGAGUGAACCUUGCUUUUUUUCAGGCAGCUCCCUCACCAUGAAUUGGUCACCCAUCUGUGGGAGGACGAUCUUCUCUUGCUGUUUCGCUCGGUCCCUCAAAGCAUUGCAAUGGUCCGCCACAUCUCCACAAGGUCUUAUUAAAUUGGUAAAUCCCUUGAUUUCUUUCUCCACCCUUUCGAUUUCUGUCAUUUUGUCCUCCUGUUGCUCUCUAUGCCCUGUGAUCUUUACACUCAUUCCUUUUCUGCUCCAUACUCUCCCCUUUCUGCUCAGCAUUUACUUAAGUUGCUGCUACAUCUACAGGCAGCUGCAUUACCUUUAACAGUUCUUGUCCUUUACAGUCCCUAACCUUGGGACUGCUGACAUGAUUCAUGAUCAUUGUCCCAUCUUCUGUCUACACUUCACCCAGUCUCUUCCCUCUGCUUGGGGCUGGUGUCUCUCUGAGGACCAUGUUGUCUGCUCUGCGGUCACACAUGUUUGCUGUCCCUGUCUUGUCCAUGGUAUUACUCAGUCUGUCCAUCCCUAGUACAGUACUCUCAUUGUUUGCGUACAGUCAAAUCCACAUGAAGCUACAUUCUCGCAUUCUCAAGUAUGCAAGGCUCAUUUCUAUCUGCCCUCAUAGUUUUACCCCCUGCACAGGUAAAGUAAAUCACCUCUCCAGUCGAGGGCAAGGGCAGAGCAGUAAAAUGCCCUUUAGGGCUUCUAGCGAACUGAGGUAUAAUUUUUUACAGAAAGGUUUGAUUCUGGAUUGUAUGCGGAAUGAUCGGCCAAAGGAGAUAAUGGAGGCUGUAAACAGUAACAACCUUUAAAGGUCUCUUGAAUGCCUGCAAGAAAAUGAAUCUCAGGGUAGUAUAUGGUGACGUACUUAGAUAAUAAAUUUACUUUGACAUUGACUGACAGGUACUUGAAAGAUCAAGGCAUUAAGGGAUAUGGGAUUAAUAUGGAUAAGAUGAGGGCAGAAUAGAGGUGGUGGGCCAAGGGGUUGUAUGACUGUAACAUUUGAGUCAAGUCAAAUGUUUUCCCCUGUGCCUGCCACAGAUUUCAUAAUUUUAUCCACAAAUCUAUGAUGUAGUUUAACAAUAAAUGCUUUGAUUUUAUUUAGUGUCAAAAUGCCUCUCUAUAAAAUGAAUUUCUUUCUGUGACAAUGCAGCUUGCCACCACGUUCUUUGUUUUUCUGCAUGCUGCCGUAGAAGCUGAGCUAAUCCCAUGAUUUCCAGCAUUAAAGAUGCCUGCAUUGUUCGGCCUAAGCACCAUGUCAGGAUGGUUGCUUGGAGAUCAGGCUGUCAUGACUGUGCACUGUAUGCAGAAUACAAGCAACAGCAGAUCCAUUGAUGAGAUGAGUGCUAACUACAUCUUCUCUUAUUGAGAAGAUCAUCUGUGGUCCCAAUUCUAAAUAACCUGAUAUAUUCUUGUGUUAAAGUCUGCAGGGGAUUGAAUUAAGUCAUUGGGGGCAGGGAGUUGGGAAAAUCAUCAUCACUGGGGCUCCUGUAGUGUUUAUCCAAGAAUAUAGAGUAUGUAUCUAUCCCGAUGAAGGGCCUCAGCCUUAAACAUCCACUGUUUAUUCAUUUCCACAGAUGCUGCCUGACCUGCUGAGUUCCUCCAGCAUUUUGUGGGUGUUGCUCUGGAUUUCCAGCAUCUGCAGAAUCUCUUGUGUUUAUGGCAUACAUAUCUAUAUUAUUGCCCCCACCUUCCACACUAUGCUUAAAUCCAUAUGGUCCAACAAGGAUACUAACUUGGUAGGUCAGGCAGCAUUUGCGCAAAGAGAAACAGAGAGAUCAAUUUAAGUUGAAUAUUCUUCAUCAGAACUGGGAAAGUUAGAAAACAAAGUUUUAAGUUUCAGGGAGGGUGUUAAGUGGUAGGAAUAUCUUGACAGGGUGAGGCCAGGAUUGCUAAGGUGAACCUAAUGUUUAUGGAAACGUCUGGUUGAUUUUCAGGGUUGUAUAUGGUGACAUAUAUAAUAUAUAUUUUUAUAAUAAAUUUAUUUUGAACUUUGAUUUUCAUUGAG